UACAGAGGUCCCAAGCGUUGUUCGGAUUCACUGGGCGUAAAGGGUGCGCAGGUGGGUUGGCAAGUUCGAUGUGAAAGCCCCGGGCUUAACCCGGGAAUGGCAUUGGAUACUGCUGAUCUGGAGGAUCGGAGGGGGGACUGGAAUUCUUGGUGUAGCAGUGAAAUGCGUAGAUAUCAAGAGGAACACCAGUGGCGAAGGCGGCGACCUGGUCCAUUACUGACGCUGAGGCGCGACAGCGUGGGGAGCAAACAGG
rnacentral:rRNA from 1 species